rnacentral:rRNA from 1 species
UAGGGAAUCUUCCGCAAUGGGCGAAAGCCUGACGGAGCAACGCCGCGUGAGUGAUGAAGGUCUUCGGAUCGUAAAACUCUGUUAUUAGGGAAGAACAAAUGUGUAAGUAACUAUGCACGUCUUGACGGUACCUAAUCAGAAAGCCACGGCUAACUACGUGCCAGCAGCCGCGGUAAUACGUAGGUGGCAAGCGUUGUCCGGAUUUAUUGGGCGUAAAGCGAGCGCAGGCGGUCAAUUAAGUCUGAUGUGAAAGCCCCCGGCUCAACCGGGGAGGGUCAUUGGAAACUGGUUGACUUGAGUGCAGAAGAGGAGAGUGGAAUUCCAUGUGUAGCGGUGAAAUGCGUAGAUAUAUGGAGGAACACCAGUGGCGAAGGCGACUCUCUGGUCUGUAACUGACGCGGAGGCUCGAAAGCGUGGGUAGCAAACAGG